ACCCAAAUCCUAUAUUGGACCAAAGAGUUAUGGUCGAUCUACUUUAGCUUAUCAAAACAGUCCACCAAAGGACAGAUUUGACAUUAUUUAAAUUUUAAAGGUACUUUGGUCAUUCCCUAUGAUAUUAUGGACGGGAAUAUGUGUAUAUAUACAUGUAUAUGAGUUCAAAAACUCAUCUUCAUCAUCAAUCAUUGAGAAAGAACAAACCCUAGCCAAAUUUGACCUUUAAAUUAUUUUUGAUUCAACCGUGGAAAUUCCAAAGUAAUCCGAUAACUGCGUUUGUCAUCUCGAGAGCUUCGAACGACACCUAUUAUUUGUGAGAACAGGAUUGCAUAAUCAAG
rnacentral:lncRNA from 1 species